UACAGAGGAGCCAAGCGUUGUCCGGAUUGACUGGGCGUAAAGCGCACGCAGGCGGUUGCGCGCGUGGGGUGUGAAAUCUGGCCGCUUAACGGCCAGGCGCCAUCCCAUACGGCGCGACUGGAGGGCUGCAGAGGUCGAUGGAAUUGCCGGUGUAGUGGUGAAAUGCGUAGAGAUCGGCAGGAACACCCAGGGGGGAAACCAGUCGACUGGGCAGCACCUGACGCUGAGGUGCGAGAGCGUGGGGGAGCGAACCGG
rnacentral:rRNA from 1 species